GGGCCUUUAGCUCAGUUGGUUAGAGCAGUGGACUCAUAAUCCAUUGGUCCAAAGUUCAAGUCUUUGAAGGCCCA
rnacentral:tRNA from 1 species